CCAAAGGCUCUUUUCAGAGCCACCCACUACCUCACGAAAGAGCUAU
rfam:Tinamus guttatus contig23425, whole genome shotgun sequence.